GAUGAACGCUGGCGGCGUGCCUAAUACAUGCAAGUCGAGCGAACCACUUCGGUGGUGAGCGGCGAACGGGUGAGUAACACGUAGGUCAUCUGCCCAUCAGACGGGGACAACGAUUGGAAACGAUCGCUAAUACCGGAUAGGACGAAAGUUUAAAGGUGCUUCUGGCACCGCUGCUGGAUGAGCCUGCGGCGCAUUAGCUAGUUGGUAGGGUAAAGGCCUACCAAGGCGACGAUGCGUAGCCGACCUGGGAGGGUGAACGGCCACACUGGGACUGAGACACGGCCCAGACUCCUACGGGAGGCAGCAGUAGGGAAUCUUCGGCAAUGGGCGAAAGCCUGACCGAGCAACGCCGCGUGAAUGAUGAAGGCCUUCGGGUUGUAAAAUUCUGUUAUAAGGGAAGAACGACUUUAGUAGGAAAUGGCUAGAGUGUGACGGUACCUUAUGAGAAAGCCACGGCUAACUACGUGCCAGCCGCCGCAGUAA
rnacentral:rRNA from 1 species